rnacentral:lncRNA from 1 species
AUAAUUGCCAGCUCCUUGGCAUCAGAUCCAGUCUACCUUAGUGCCACUUUACUGUCUGGAAAUUCAAGUUCCUGGCGUCAAGGGGCUCCAAUCACUUCCACAAUUUCUAGAAAUAGCUGUGACCUGCUUUUUUGCACCAUUUCCAUCCUUACAGGCUGAACCUGAGCUCCUAGAAACAGAACACUAUUGAAGUGUGAGCUUUUUUAGUACUUUCUGCUUGGUAACUUCAUUUUUCUGAUUUAAUUACAGGUUUCAUGUUUAGAGUAUGGAGAAGGACAUCUUGUAUAAAGGCAUCUUUUCAUGUGUGGACAGACCAUAAAAACAUAGCAGAGCUGGAAUGGCAGGGCUCUGUCCCCAGAGAUCCCGUGGCACACAAAUGUCCCUUUGCUCCAUGGCAAACAGAGCCACAACAAUCACAUCCAUCCAUGGCAGGAGCACUGAGAAGAGAGAAAAGCUGGAGCUGUUGUGGCAGAAGUAGGGACAGCCAGGAGGAAUGCCUGCAAACAUCCUGACAUUGAACUUCUAAUUCCAUUUUCCGUAAGGACGCUGGCAUCUGGUGUGUUAUUAAGUAACUCGGUGGAGAUCUGUUAAAUGCAUAACCUCCCUGCACAAAGGAUACAUUCUUUUACUGCCUUUCUCCCUUUAACCCCUGCUUCCCUUUGAUACUUGCCUGCUCCACAGUUGCCAAUCAUGAUUUUGCAAACUCAGUUGAAACAUUUCAGUGGGACAAAUCACCCUGUUUUUUUCACUCCCUGCCAUCCUCAGGAGUUUACAGUCAGAACCUCCAUUGCUUUCAGCCUGAAAUUUCCCUUUGCUUUCCUGCAAAUCCUUGGAGUUGUUUUCAACAAGAUGCACCAAGGUGUUUCACCAAGAGAAAAAACAUCUGACAAAAGUUCCCAGGGCAGAUGGAAGAAAAUGGGCAUCAGUUUAGAUUGUCUGUGCCAGGAAAUAUAUAAUAAUGCCGUCAUUCUUAAGACAACUCUGCAGCAGCAGGCUCAGACAGCUACAAAGUGGAGCACAUGCAUGGAUUUGUCAUCCUGUCUUACUCUUAAACAACAUUGGCUUCUUUGUCAAUUGUGA